rnacentral:rRNA from 1 species
UGGGGAAUAUUGGACAAUGGGCGAAAGCCCGAUCCAGCCAUGCCGCGUGUGUGAAGAAGGUCUUCGGAUUGUAAAGCACUUUAAGUUGGGAGGAAGGGCAGUUACCUAAUACGUGAUUGUUUUGACGUUACCGACAGAAUAAGCACCGGCUAACUCUGUGCCAGCAGCCGCGGUAAUACAGAGGGUGCAAGCGUUAAUCGGAAUUACUGGGCGUAAAGCGCGCGUAGGUGGUUAGUUAAGUUGGAUGUGAAAUCCCCGGGCUCAACCUGGGAACUGCAUUCAAAACUGACUGACUAGAGUAUGGUAGAGGGUGGUGGAAUUUCCUGUGUAGCGGUGAAAUGCGUAGAUAUAGGAAGGAACACCAGUGGCGAAGGCGACCACCUGGACUGAUACUGACACUGAGGUGCGAAAAGCGUGGGGAGCAAACAGGAUUAGAUAUCCUGGUAGUCCACG